UACGGAGGGUGCAAACGUUGCUCGGAAUCAUUGGGCGUAAAGCGCACGUAGGCGGCCUGAUAAGUCGGGUGUGAAAGCCCUGGGCUCAACCCAGGAAGUGCACUCGAAACUGCCAGGCUUGAAUAUGGAAGAGGGUCGCGGAAUUCCCGGUGUAGAGGUGAAAUUCGUAGAUAUCGGGAGGAACACCAGUGGCGAAGGCGGCGACCUGGGUCGAGACUGACGCUGAUGCGCGAAAGCGUGGGAGCAAACAGG
rnacentral:rRNA from 1 species